rnacentral:misc_RNA from 1 species
GUUAAGGAUUUAGUGUCAAUAAUUUUUUUUGCACAACAAAAACUAAUCCUCUAGAGUUCAGGGCUUUUGCAACCAUUAUUCAAGAUGAACAAUUCAAAUCUUAAAACAUGGAAGAGUUGAAGAUGAAGAGAAUGAAGUUCUGAUAAUUAGUGCAUAACACUUAUAAGUUCUAUCUUCAGUAGUUUCCUACAAAAAAAUUAUUGACACUAAAUCCUUAACCAUAUGAGGAGGACAGCUUCAUCAUCAUAUGCUUCAAAAUAAGAAAAUGAGCAAAGUUCAAAGCUGUUAUUCCAAUGCAUGGCAAAUCACGUACAUAGAAUUUAGGCGCUCAAUGGAGAGCCUGAGUUUUUCCUGCACUCGGACAACAUGUCCAUGUAGAACUGGCACUUACUGAUGUCAUUCCCAAAGUUAUUCAGGCAAUCUUGGAAUGCCUUUGAGUGAACACUGCAUGCAUCAGCACCACCCAUACUGCUUGCUGUGGGUGCUGGGGC